rnacentral:rRNA from 1 species
GAUGAACGCUGGCGGCGUGCCUAACACAUGCAAGUCGAGCGAUUUACUUCGGAGAAGAGCGGCGGACGGGAGAGUAACGCGUGGGUAACCUGCCCUGUACACACGGAUAACAUACCGAAAGGUAUGCUAAUACGAGAUAAUAUGCUUUUAUCGCAUGGUAGAAGUAUCAAAGCUUUUGCGGUACAGGAUGGACCCGCGUCUGAUUAGCUAGUUGGCAAGGUAACGGCUUACCAAGGCGACGAUCAGUAGCCGACCUGAGAGGGUGAUCGGCCACAUUGGAACUGAGACACGGUCCAAACUCCGACGGGAGGCAGCAGUGGGGAAUAUUGCACAAUGGGCGAAAGCCUGAUGCAGCAACGCCGCGUGAGCGAUGAAGGCCUUCGGGUCGUAAAGCUCUGUCCUCAAGGAAGAUAAUGACGGUACUUGAGGAGGAAGCCCCGGCUAACUACGUGCCAGCCGCCGCGGUAA